CUCGCGUGUCGUGUCAGCCGCCGCGGUAAUACGUAGGGUGCAAGCGUUAAUCGGAAUUACUGGGCGUAAAGCGUGCGCAGGCGGUUUUGUAAGACUGUCGUGAAAUCCCCGGGCUCAACCUGGGAAUGGCGAUGGUGACUGCAAGGCUAGAGUUUGGCAGAGGGGGGUAGAAUUCCACGUGUAGCAGUGAAAUGCGUAGAUAUGUGGAGGAACACCGAUGGCGAAGGCAGCCCCCUGGGUCAAACUGACGCUCAUGCACGAAAGCGUGGGGAGCAAACAGGAUUAGAUACCCUGGUAGUCCACGCCCUAAACGAUGUCUACUAGUUGUCGGGUUUUAAUUAACUUGGUAACGCAGCU
rnacentral:rRNA from 1 species